UGGGGAAUAUUGCACAAUGGGCGCAAGCCUGAUGCAGCCAUGCCGCGUGUAUGAAGAAGGCCUUCGGGUUGUAAAGUACUUUCAGCGGGGAGGAAGGCGAUAAGGUUAAUAACCUUGUCGAUUGACGUUACCCGCAGAAGAAGCACCGGCUAACUCCGUGCCAGCAGCCGCGGUGAUACGGAGGGUGCAAGCGUUACUCGGACUUACUGGGCGUAAAGCGCACGCAGGCGGUCUGUCAAGUCGGAUGUGAAAUCCCCGGGCUCAACCUGGGAACUGCAUUCGAAACUGGCAGGCUAGAGUCUUGUAGAGGGGGGUAGAAUUCCAGGUGUAGCGGUGAAAUGCGUAGAGAUCUGGAGGAAUACCGGUGGCGAAGGCGGCCCCCUGGACAAAGACUGACGCUCAGGUGCGAAAGCGUGGGGAGCAAACA
rnacentral:rRNA from 1 species